rnacentral:ncRNA from 20 species
GCCGGGAUAGCUCAGUUGGUAGAGCAGA